UGGCUAAAAAAUAGAAGGAAGUGCACGGUAAAAGGAAUUUGGCAACAUCCAAAUAAGCACAUGGGUUUGAACGUAAAAGUGGGUUUGGACGUGAAAGGGGGAAGCAAGUCAUUCAUAUCUUGAAUUUUAAAGCACAAUUAUUGGUUUGCAACCAACACACCACACGGCCUAAGGCAGCCAGCCACACAAAGGGGAAUCUUCUUUCUCUUUUAGAAAGUAGCAGACACCACAAUAGAAAAAGGGGGACCACCACUUGUUGAAGGGAGGCCACGCACAUGGAAGGGGAGCACACGGUAUUUUCAUUCUUUUUCUUUCAAGAAAAAGCAAUUUGAUUCUAUGAGCUGAAUGGUGGUGUCACGGCUAGCAAGAAGAAGUGGUGCCAUGGCUGGAAUAACGUGCACACGUUGGACUUCUUUGGGAGAGGUGUUUCGUUAUUGGAGAGCUGCUGCCACGGCUGGAUGGAGAGGAAGCACACUGCUGAUUUCAAUUAGCAUGUGGUGGAGAAGCGUCCAGCAGCCUUGAAGAAGACAGCACACGUCCAAGAGGAGCUUGGAGGGAGUGUCACGGCCUUGGUCCAGCAGGAGCAGCUUUGGUGAGGUGCUGCACGGUGAUUCAAAAGGGAGGCAGCACAGCAUCAUCGUCCAGCACGCUCCAGCUUCACGGUCCAACAGCAACGGGUGGUGUCCAUUGUAGAAGCAAUUCCAAUUUACUUUUGGCUUGAGGAGAGCACAUGGGUCACGAGAAAUGGGUGUGCACGUUGCUUAUGUGGAGAAGUAAUAUUUCAAUUGCAAGUGUUAAUAAAAUGGUAAUGGAUGUUGGAAAGGCACGCUGCUGGAAGAGGGAAAUGGUUCCCAUUUCUAUUUUUCUUAGAAUGAAACCCAUGGAAGCUUAACAUGUCACUGCUAAAGAGGAUUUUCUUUUAGAAGCUUUUAAAAUUUCAAUUUCUUUUAAAGAGAUGCUGUUAUGUUUUGGGUGAGGAAAGGUAAGGUGAUACAUUUAAUUUAAGUGAUUUAAUUUAGAGGAAGGGCAUGGCUGCCACGUCCAACUACAA